UCUGGCACUUCUAAUAGUCAGUCUCGAGCAAAAACAUAUACAAUGGAACGAUGUCACUCAGCAGAAAUGCUUUCAAAGUCCAAAAGAUCAGGAGGAGAUGAAAAUGAAGAGGAUACUCGCCCACAAACAACAAUGGCAACAUCUUUAACUUCUUUAAAGAGAAGAUAUCCAACAGUUCUGGAUCUUUUGAAAAACCUGGUAACAAUCAAGCACUCUCCAAUCAUCUUUGCCCAGGAAAAACUCCUCUUCCAUUUGCAGACCUGACACCUCAGACUGAAACAGUACAACAGUGGUUUGGGAAUCUGCAAAUAAAUGCUCACUUAAGAAAAACUACUGAAUAUGACAGCAUCAGCUCAAACCAGGAUUUCUAGGACCAUCCAGAUUUGCAGAAGGACACAUCAAAAAAUGCCUGGACUGAUAUAAAAGUCAAAAAGAGCUCCCAUGCUUCUGAUGAUGCACAUUCUGUAAAUCAGCCAAAUACCGUGAAAUACAUGAUGGCACUUCACAGUAAACCUGGGAUAAUCCAACAAGAAUGUGUUUUUGCCUUAGAUCCUCUUUCUGAACAGAGCAAGACUAGGGAUAUGGAGCUAUCAUUGGGUUAUCAGAAUCGUACAUUAAGAAGCAUUACAUCUCCAUUGAUUGCUCACAGAUUAAAACCAAUCAGACAGAAAACCAAAAAGGCUGUGGUGAGCAUACUUGAUUCAGAGGAGGUGUGUGUGGAGCUUCUAAAGGAGUAUGCAUCUCAAGAAUAUGUGAAAGAAGUUCUUCAGAUAUCUAGUGAUGGAAAUACGAUCACUAUUUAUUAUCCAAAUGUUGGAAGAGAUUUUCCUCUUGCUGAUAGACCUCCCUCACCUACUGACAACAUCAGUAGGUACAGCUUUGACAAUUUACCAGAAAAAUACUGGCGAAAAUAUCACUAUGCUUCCAGGUUUGUACAGCUUGUAAGAUCUAAAUCUCCCAAAAUCACUUAUUUUGCAAGAUACGCUAAAUGCAUUUUGAUGGAGAAUUCUCCUGGUGCUGAUUUCGAGGUUUGGUUUUAUGAUGGGGCAAAAAUACACAAAACAAAAGAUUUCAUUCAGGUGAUUGAAAAGACAGGGAAGUCUUAUACUUUAAAAAGUGAAAGUGAAGUUAAUAGCUUGAAAGAAGAGAUGAAAAUGUAUAUGGACCAUGCUAACGAGGGUCAUCGUAUUUGUUUAGCACUGGAAUCCAUAAUUUCAGAAGAGGAAAGGAAAACGAGGAGUGCUCCCUUUUUCCCAAUAAUCAUAGGAAGAAAACCUAGUAGUACUAGUUCACCUAAGGCCUUAUCACCUCCUCCUUCUGUGGAUUCAAAUUACCCAUCGAGAGAUGGAACACCUUUCAAUAGAAUGGCCAUGAAUAGUGCCGCUUCUCCAUCGCAGGCACCAAUGCUUAAUCCCUCUAUGAUUACAAAUGAAGGACUUGCUCUUACAGCUACAGCUUCUGGAACAGACAUCUCUUCUAACAGUCUAAAAGAUUGUCUACCUAAAUCAGCACAACUUUUGAAAUCUGUUUUUGCGAAAAAUGUUGGUUGGACUACACAGUUAACUAGCGGAGCUGUGUGGGUUCAGUUUAAUGAUGGGUCCCAGUUGGUUGUGCAGGCAGGAGUGUCUUCUAUCAGUUAUACCUCACCAAAUGGUCAAACAACCAGGUAUGGAGAAAAUGAAAAAUUACCAGAAUACAUCAAACAGAAAUUACAGUGUUUGUCUUCCAUCCUUUCGAUGUUUUCUAAUUCAACUCCUAAUUUUCAUUGAUCAAAACUCCUUUCAGACAUAUAAGUUUAAUAAAUAACUUUUUUGUUGGCUUUCAAGUAAAAUGAUUUUUUUUUAAUUUAACUUCUUCAGAAAGCCUUUCUAUGAAAGAAUUUUAACCUAUACUGUAAAGGAUGUAUUCUGAGAGAACAAAGCAGAAUGAAACUUGAGUCACUUACUAAAUAGAGUGGAUAUAAAAUAGUAUACCUGACUUUGCUCUUAGAUCAUAACCCCCAAACUUAUUAUGUUCAUGUAUUUGUAUCCAACAAUCUUUUAAAAGCAAAAAUAUAAAUGAUAUGUGGUAUAUUUCUGCUUUUAUUGUUUUCCCUAUGUCUCAGACAUGUUGAGAAUCAUGGACAGAACCUGCUGAAAUUUGGGAAUUUUUGAACAUGUAAAUCGUGUAUUUAUGUUAUAAGUAACAUAUGUAAACAUGUAUAUUUGUUUUAUAUUUAUUUUUGUAGCACCCGUGUCUGAUGAAACAUAUUUGCAAAUGCAUUUUAUAAAAAAAUAAAUACAGUGAUAAG